rnacentral:rRNA from 1 species
AGAGUUUGAUCAUGGCUCAGAUUGAACGCUGGCGGCAGGCUUAACACAUGCAAGUCGAGCGGAGAUGAGGUGCUUGCACCUUAUCUUAGCGGCGGACGGGUGAGUAAUGCUUAGGAAUCUGCCUAUUAGUGGGGGACAACAUUCCGAAAGGAAUGCUAAUACCGCAUACGUCCUACGGGAGAAAGCAGGGGAUCUUCGGACCUUGCGCUAAUAGAUGAGCCUAAGUCGGAUUAGCUAGUUGGUGGGGUAAAGGCCUACCAAGGCGACGAUCUGUAGCGGGUCUGAGAGGAUGAUCCGCCACACUGGGACUGAGACACGGCCCAGACUCCUACGGGAGGCAGCAGUGGGGAAUAUUGGACAAUGGGGGGAACCCUGAUCCAGCCAUGCCGCGUGUGUGAAGAAGGCCUUAUGGUUGUAAAGCACUUUAAGCGAGGAGGAGGCUACUGAGACUAAUACUCUUGGAUAGUGGACGUACUCGCAGAAUAAGCACCGGCUAACUCUGUGCCAGCAGCCGCGGUAAUACAGAGGGUGCGAGCGUUAAUCGGAUUUACUGGGCGUAAAGCGUGCGUAGGCGGCUUUUUAAGUCGGAUGUGAAAUCCCCGAGCUUAACUUGGGAAUUGCAUUCGAUACUGGGAAGCUAGAGUAUGGGAGAGGAUGGUAGAAUUCCAGGUGUAGCGGUGAAAUGCGUAGAGAUCUGGAGGAAUACCGAUGGCGAAGGCAGCCAUCUGGCCUAAUACUGACGCUGAGGUACGAAAGCAUGGGGAGCAAACAGGAUUAGAUACCCUGGUAGUCCAUGCCGUAAACGAUGUCUACUAGCCGUUGGGGCCUUUGAGGCUUUAGUGGCGCAGCUAACGCGAUAAGUAGACCGCCUGGGA